rnacentral:rRNA from 1 species
UACGUAGGGACCGAGCGUUGUCCGGAAUCAUUGGGCGUAAAGAGCGUGUAGGCGGCCACUUAAGUCCUGCGUGAAAUCCUGCGGCUCAACCGCAGGCGGUCGUGGGUACGGGCAGACUAGAGUGCGGUAGGGGAGACUGGAAUUCCUGGUGUAGCGGUGAAAUGCGCAGAUAUCAGGAGGAACACCGGUGGCGAAGGCGGGUCUCUGGGCCGUAACUGACGCUGAGGAGCGAAAGCGUGGGGAGCAAACAGG